GACGAACGCUGGCGGCGUGCUUAACACAUGCAAGUCGAACGAAGUGGCGAACGGGUGAGUAACGCGUAAUCAACCUGCCCUUCAGAGGGGGACACCAGUUGGAACCGACUGCUAAUCCCGCAUACUGAAGAAGGGGAUUGCGUCUGAUUAGCUAGUUGGGGGGGUAACGGCCCACCAAGGCGAUGAGUAGUAGCCGGUCUGAGAGGAUGAACGGCCACAUUGGGACUGGGAAACGGCCCAGACUCCUACGGGAGGCAGCAGUGGGGAAUCUUCCGCAAUGGACGAAAGUCUGACGGAGCAACGCCGCGGGAGUGAUGACGGCCUUCGGGUUGGAAAGCUCUGUGAAUCGGGACGCGGUACCGGAAUAGAAAGCCACGGCUAACUACGUGCCAGCAGCCGCGGUAAUUC
rnacentral:rRNA from 1 species